CCCUUAGAUGUUCUGGGCCGCACGCGCGCUACACUGAUGCAUUCAACAAGCCUAGCCUUGACCGAGAGGUCCGGGUAAUCUUUGAAACUGCAUCGUGAUGGGGCUAGAUUAUUGCAAUUAUUAAUCUUCAACGAGGAAUGCCUAGUAAGCGUGAUUCAUCAAAUCGCGUUGAUUACGUCCCUGCCCUUUGUACACACCGCCCGUCGCUCCUACCGAUUGAAUGUGUUGGUGAGGAGCUCGGAUUGGCAGCAGUUGGUGGUUCGCCACCGGCUAUUGCUGAGAAGUCCUCCAAACCGCCCCAUUUAGAGGAAGGAGAAGUCGUAGCA
rnacentral:rRNA from 1 species